AUUGAACGCUGGCGGCAUGCCUUACACAUGCAAGUCGAACGGCAGCACGGACUUCGGUCUGGUGGCGAGUGGCGAACGGGGGAGUAAUAUAUCGGAACAUACCUUGUAGGGGGGGAUAACUAUCCGAAAGGAUAGCUAAUACCUCAUACGCUCUAUGGAGGAACGCGCGGGAGUGUCAGACGUCGCGCUUGAAGAGUGGGCGAUAGCUGAUUAGCAAGUUGGUGAGGUAAAGGCUCACCAAGGCGACCAUCAGUAGCUGGUCUGAGGGGACGACCAGCCACACUGGAACUGAGACACGGUCCAGACUCCUACGGGAGGCAGCAGUGGGGAAUUUUGGACAAUGGGGGCAACCCUGAUCCAGCAAUGCCGCGUGAGUGAAGAAGGCCUUCGGGUUGUAAAGCUCUUUUGUCAGGGAAGAAACGGUUGUGGCUAAUAUCCAUGGCUAAUGACGGUACCUGAAGAAUAAGCACCGGCUAACUACGUGCCAGCCGCCGCAGUAA
rnacentral:rRNA from 1 species